UACGAAGGGGGCUAGCGUUGUUCGGAUUUACUGGGCGUAAAGCGCACGUAGGCGGAUUGGUCAGUUAGGGGUGAAAUCCUGGAGCUCAACUCCAGAACUGCCUUUGAUACUGCAAAUCUCGAGUCCGGAAGAGGUGAGUGGAAUUCCUAGUGUAGAGGUGAAAUUCGUAGAUAUUAGGAAGAACACCAGUGGCGAAGGCGGCUCACUGGUCCGGUACUGACGCUGAGGUGCGAAAGCGUGGGGAGCAAACAGG
rnacentral:rRNA from 1 species